rnacentral:rRNA from 1 species
AUGAACGCUAGCGGCAGGCCUAAUACAUGCAAGUCGGACGGGAUAGGAGAGCUUGCUUUCCUUGAGAGUGGCGCACGGGUGCGUAACACGUAUGUAACCUACCUUGUUCAGGGGGAUAGCCUCUCGAAAGAGAGAUUAAGACCGCAUAACAUUAAGUUGUGGCAUCGCAAUUUAAUCAAAUAUUUAUAGGAACAAGAUGGGCAUGCGGAACAUUAGCUAGUUGGUAAGGUAACGGCUUACCAAGGCUACGAUGUUUAGGGGAUCUGAGAGGAUUACCCCCCCACACUGGUACUGAGACACGGACCAGACUCCUACGGGAGGCAGCAGUAAGGAAUAUUGGUCAAUGGACGGAAGUCUGAACCAGCCAUGCCGCGUGCAGGAAGACGGCCCUAUGGGUUGUAAACUGCUUUUGUACGGGAAUAAACCUUGGUCGUGACCAAAGCUGAAUGUACUGUAAGAAUAAGGAUCGGCUAACUCCGUGCCUAGCAGCCGCGGUAAUACGGAGGAUCCAAGCGUUAUCCGGAUUUAUUGGGUUUAAAGGGUGCGUAGGUGGCUUUUUAAGUCAGGGGUGAAAGACGGCAGCUUAACUGUCGCAGUGCCUUUGAUACUGAAGAGCUUGAAUGAACUAGAGGUAGGCGGAAUGUGACAAGUAGCGGUGAAAUGCAUAGAUAUGUCACAGAACACUAAUUGCGAAGGCAGCUUACUAUGGUUUGAUUGACACUGAGGCACGAAAGCGUGGGGAUCAAACAGGAUUAGAUACCCUGGUAGUCCACGCCCUAAACGAUGAAUACUCGAUGUUGGCGAUAUACGGUCAGCGUCUAAGCGAAAGCGUUAAGUAUUCCACCUGGGAGUACGCCCGCAAGGGUGAAACUCAAAGGAAUUGACGGGGGCCCGCACAAGCGGAGGAGCAUGUGGUUUAAUUCGAUGAUACGCGAGGAACCUUACCCGGGCUUGAAAGUUAGUGAAUGUGACAGAGACGUCACAGUCCUUCGGGACACGAAACUAGGUGCUGCAUGGCUGUCGUCAGCUCGUGCCGUGAGGUGUUGGGUUAAGUCCCGCAACGAGCGCAACCCCUAUGUUUAGUUGCCAGCAUGUAAAGGUGGGGACUCUAAACAGACUGCCUAUGCAAAUAGAGAGGAAGGAGGGGACGACGUCAAGUCAUCAUGGCCCUUACGUCCGGGGCUACACACGUGCUACAAUGGGCAGUACAGAGGGCAGCUACCUGGUAACAGGAUGCCAAUCUCCAAAAGCUGUUCACAGUUCGGAUCGGGGUCUGCAACUCGACCCCGUGAAGUUGGAUUCGCUAGUAAUCGCGUAUCAGCAAUGACGCGGUGAAUACGUUCCCGGGCCUUGUACACACCGCCCGUCAAGCCAUGGAAGCUGGAAGUGCCUGAAGUGCGUAACCGCGAGGAGCGUCCUAGGGUAAAGUCGGUAACUGGGGCU